rnacentral:rRNA from 1 species
CCUACGGGUGGCUGCAGUCGGGAAUAUUGCGCAAUGGAGGAAACUCUGACGCAGUGACGCCGCGUAUAGGAAGAAGUUUUUCGGAAUGUAAACUCUUGUCGUUAGGGAAGAGAAAGGCCAGUACCUAAGGAGGAAGCUCCGGCUAACUCUGUGUCAGCAGCCGCGGUAAUACAGAGGUCUCAAGCGUUGUUCGGAAGCACUGGGCGUAAGGGGUGCGUAGGCUGUUUCGUAAGUCGUGUGUGAAAGGCGCGGGCGCAACCCGCGGACGGCACAUGAUACUGCGAGACGAGAGUAAUGGAGGGGGAACCGGAAUUCUCGGUGUAGCAGUGAAAUGCGUAGAUAUCGAGAGGAACACUCGUGGCGAAGGCGGGUUCCUGGACAUUAACUGACGCUGAGGCACGAAGGCCAGGGGAGCGAAAGGGAUUAGAUACCCUGGUAGUC